rnacentral:tRNA from 1 species
GGGCGCAUGGUUUAGUGGUAUAAUACUCCCUUAGCAUGUUUCGAGCAAUCGAUUCAACUAAAUUGGGAGUGGUCCUGGGUUCGAUUCCCAGUGUGUCCA